rnacentral:rRNA from 1 species
UACAGAGGUCUCAAGCGUUGUUCGGAUUCAUUGGGCGUAAAGGGUGCGUAGGCGGUGAGGUAAGUUGGAUGUGAAAUCCCGGAGCUUAACUCCGGAACUGCAUUCAAUACUGCCUUGCUAGAGUACUGGAGAGGAGAUUGGAAUUCACGGUGUAGCAGUGAAAUGCGUAGAUAUCGUGAGGAAGACCAGUGGCGAAGGCGAAUCUCUGGACAGUUACUGACGCUGAGGCACGAAGGCUAGGGGAGCAAACGGG